GCCCCCCUGUCAACCGGCCUCCGGAGCCGUGUGCGCAGGUUCGAAUCCUGCCGGGGGCA
rnacentral:tRNA from 1 species